AGAGUUUGAUCCUGGCUCAGGAUGAACGCUGGCGGCGUGCUUAACACAUGCAAGUCAAGGGGGCCCAGCAAUGGGCAACCGGCGAACGGGUGCGUAACACGUGAGCAAUCUACCGAAUUGUGGGGGAUAGCCGGCCCAACGGCCGGGUAAUACCGCAUACGCUCGAGACCAGGCAUUUGGACUCGAGGAAAUUUACGGAGCAAUUCGAGGAGCUCGCGGCCUAUCAGCUAGUUGGCGAGGUAACGGCUCACCAAGGCGACGACGGGUAGCUGGUCUGAGAGGAUGGCCAGCCACAUUGGGACUGAGACACUGCCCAGACUCCUACGGGGGGCUGCAGUAACGAAUCUUCCGCAAUGCACGAAAGUGUGACGGAGCGACGCCGCGUGUGGGACGAAGUCCUUCGGGAUGUAAACCACUGUCAGGGGAAAGAAAGUUCUGAUCUACCCCAGAGGAAGGGGCGGCUAACUCUGUGCCAGCAGCCGCGGUAAUACAGAGGCCCCAAGCGUUAGGCGGAAUCACUGGGCUUAAAGCGUGUGUAGGCGGGUCGUUAAGUACCUUGUGAAAUCCCACGGCUUAACCGUGGAACCGCUUGGUAUACUGGCGGUCUUGAGCCACUUAGGGGCUACCGGAACAGAUGGUGGAGCGGUGAAAUGCGUAGAUAUCAUCUGGAACGCCCAUGGUGAAAACAGGUAGCUGGGAGUGUGCUGACGCUGAGACACGAAAGCCAGGGGAGCGAACGGGAUUAGAUACCCCUGUAGUCC
rnacentral:rRNA from 1 species